rnacentral:rRNA from 1 species
UGAAAAUAAUCUUAAUUUUUGUUUAUAAGUAUUUAAUAAAGAAAUUUGCCAAAAAUAAUAGUUGACAAGUACUGUAAAGGAAGGUUGAAAUAGUUGAAAAUUCAAUUUAAUAAAAGUAUGAAUAAAAAUUAGUACCUUGUGUUUCAGGGGAUUUAAAACUAAGCUUAAAAGGAAGUGGUCCCGAAAUUUAGUGAGCUAGUUUAUUAUAAUAGUUAACGUAGUAUAGUUAUUAUAAAUAUUUUACUAGAAGUGAAAUUCUAUACGCACUAAUAGGUAUCUGGUUUUUCAAUAAAUGAAUUUAAUUCAGCUUUUUGAUAAGUCAAAAUUAAAAAGUAAAGACAGGAGGGAAAAGCUUCUUGUUUAAUAAUGAGCCUCUUAUGAGUAAUAAAAGAUUAUAUUUAUUUAGCUAGGCUUAAAAUCAGUCAAGUUUUAAAAUCGUUAUAGAUUAUUUAAAGACAAGUUAACAUUUCUAAUUACUUUAGGCACCUAUUGAAAAAAUCAAUUUAAUAAUUGUUUUGAAGAUAUAAUUAAAUCAUUAGUAUAAAAGUCUUGUAGUUAUAAAAGUACUGGGUUAAAGCAUGUACAUUUAUUUAAUUUCAAAUUGUGUUAAGGAACUCGGCAAUAAUCCUUUCUGCCUGUUUAUCAAAAACAUGUCCGUAUGAAAGAGUGUUAUACGGUCUGGCCUGCCCACUGAUGUUUUAUUUGAAGGGCCGCGGUAUUUUGACCGUGCGAAGGUAGCAUAAUAAUUAGUCUCCUAAUUAGAGGCUUGUAUGAAUGGUCGGACAAGAUAGGAGCUGUCUCAAUACAAAAUAUAAAACUUAAUAUUUAAGUAAAAAAGCUUAAAUAAUUUGGAGGGACGAUAAGACCCUAUAAAGCUUUAUAGCACAUUCUUUUUAUAUAAAUUAUACAAUAUUAACUUGUUAAAUGAAGUGUGCUGUUUUACUGGGGCGGUAGAAGUAUACAUGAUUAACUGCUUUUAAUUUUGAAAACAAUUAUACUUGGGUGCUAAUUGAUCCAUUAUUAAUGAUCACAAGUACAAGUUACUUUAGGGAUAACAGCGUAAUUUUUCUUGAGAGUCCUAAUCGAAAGAAAAGUUUGCGACCUCGAUGUUGAAUUAAGGAAGCCUUAAGGUGUAGCAGUUUUAUAGGCAGAUCUGUUCGAUCUUUAAAUCCUUACAUGAUUUGAGUUCAGACCGGCGUGAGCCAGGUUGGUUUCUAUCUUCCACAAUUAAAGAAUCUGUUUUAGUACGAAAGGAUUU